CGUCAAAUAUCUAAAUGUCAAUAUUUUUAUGAUUUUUUAUUUACAUUUUUCUGUGAGUAUUGUGGGACCGGUUUGUUAGAAAACGUGAAAAUAAGUAAUCCUGGAUUUUUUAGCGAAGAUUAAUGAAAGAGAUACCAAAGGAACACUAAAUUCAAAGGACAUUUCAGCAGAAGUUUGUAAUUUGGUAGGAAAUCCAACCUAUUGCCGGAUUAUUAAGGCAGCUUUAAAAAUGGAAAACCAAGAAAAUACUUCGAAAAAGAGCAGAAUAGACUUCAGCAGUCUUCCGACAAGACAGUACUUAGACCAGACAGUCGUACCAAUCCUUAUGAGCGCUUUGUCAUAUUUAGCAAAAGAAAGACCGCCAGAACCAAUCAAUGCUUUGGCAGAAUAUUUGAUUAAAAACAAAAUAUCUUAUGAAGCUGGUGGAGAAAAAAUGACUGAAAAUAAUCAAGAAAGUAAGUGAUAACGUUUGGAAAAAGAUGGUUUAAUAAUGAUCUUGAUUCCUUGUAUUUUUAAAUGGAAACACAGUAUGUUGAGUUAAUAAAACUUUAUAAAGUAAUA